rnacentral:rRNA from 1 species
AUUGAACGCUGGCGGCAUGCCUUACACAUGCGAGUCGAACGGCAGCACGGGUGCUUGCACCUGGUGGCGAGUGGCGAACGGGUGAGUAAUACAUCGGAACAUGUCCUGUAGUGGGGGAUAGCCCGGCGAAAGCCGGAUUAAUACCGCAUACGAUCUACGGAUGAAAGCGGGGGACCUUCGGGCCUCGCGCUAUAGGGUUGGCCGAUGGCUGAUUAGCUAGUUGGUGGGGUAAAGGCCUACCAAGGCGACGAUCAGUAGCUGGUCUGAGAGGACGACCAGCCACACUGGGACUGAGUCACGGCCCAGACUCCUACGGGAGGCAGCAGUGGGGAAUUUUGGACAAUGGGCGAAAGCCUGAUCCAGCAAUGCCGCGUGUGUGAAGAAGGCCUUCGGGUUGUAAAGCACUUUUGUCCGGAAAGAAAUCCUUGGCCCUAAUACGGUCGGGGGAUGACGGUACCGGAAGAAUAAGCACCGGCUAACUACGUG